rnacentral:rRNA from 1 species
AGAGUUUGAUCCUGGCUCAGAAUCAACGCUGGCGGCGUGCGUAACACAUGCAAGUCGAACGAGAAAGUGGGGGCAACCCCGCGAGUAAAGCGGCAGACGGGUGAGUAACACGUGAAUAACCCACUCCUCAGUGGGGAAUAACCCCGCGAAAGCGGGGCUAAUACCGCAUAACAUCCCGGGGUCGCAUGGCUUCGGGAUCAAAGGCUCCGGUCGCUGGGGAAGGGGUUCACGGCUGAUUAGCUAGUUGGUGAGGUAACGGCCCACCAAGGCAACGAUCAGUAGCCGGCCUGAGAGGGCGUACGGCCACACUGGAACUGAGACACGGUCCAGACUCCUACGGGAGGCAGCAGUGGGGAAUUUUGCGCAAUGGGCGAAAGCCUGACGCAGCAACGCCGCGUGGAGGAUGAAGGCCUUCGGGUCGUAAACUCCUGUCAGGGGGGACGAAAGCCUCGCAAGAGGUUUGACUGUACCCUCUGAGGAAGCCACGGCUAACUCCGUGCCAGCAGCCGCGGUAAUACGGAGGUGGCAAGCGUUGUUCGGAAUUACUGGGCGUAAAGGGCGCGUAGGCGGCUUGGCAAGUCAGAUGUGAAAGCCCCGGGCUUAACCUGGGAAUUGCAUCUGAAACUGCUUUGCUUGAGUCCUGGAGGGGGUAGUGGAAUUCCCAGUGUAGCGGUGAAAUGCGUAGAUAUUGGGAGGAACACCAGCGGCGAAGGCGGCUACCUGGACAGUGACUGACGCUGAGGCGCGAAAGCUAGGGGAGCAAACGGGAUUAGAUACCCCGGGUAGUCCUAGCCGUAAAC